UACGUAGGGUGCAAGCGUUGUCCGGAAUUAUUGGGCGUAAAGAGCUCGUAGGCGGUUUGUCGCGUCUGCUGUGAAAACCCGAGGCUCAACCUCGGGCCUGCAGUGGGUACGGGCAGACUAGAGUGCGGUAGGGGAGAUUGGAAUUCCUGGUGUAGCGGUGGAAUGCGCAGAUAUCGGGAGGAACACCCGUAGCGAAGGCGGCACUCUGGGCCGGAACUGACGCUGAGGAGCGAAAGCGUGGGGAGCAAACAGG
rnacentral:rRNA from 1 species